GUUACCGUGAGGUAGGGUCUGAAGGAAGCCGGAUGGCAAAGAUAUGGGGUGACGAACAGAAAUAUCAUAUAAGGCCGAGUCUCUGGGUCAGUCAGCACAACAUGAUUACGCCCGGGAACAGGAGAUACGGUAAAUGAUGCGCUCGCAUAUCGGAAGUUCACGCU
rfam:Desulfocapsa sulfexigens DSM 10523, complete genome.